rnacentral:rRNA from 1 species
CUACGGGUGGCAGCAGUGGGGAAUAUUGCGCAAUGGGGGAAACCCUGACGCAGCAACGCCGCGUGAGUGAAGAAGGUUUUCGGAUCGUAAAGCUCUGUCUUCGGGGACGAAUAAAUGACGGUACCCGAGGAGGAAGCCCCGGCUAACUACGUGCCAGCAGCCGCGGUAAUACGUAGGGGGCAAGCGUUGUCCGGAAUUACUGGGCGUAAAGCGCACGCAGGCGGUUUAUUAAGGUAGGUGUGAAAGUUUGCAGCUCAACUGUAAAAGUGCAUCUAAAACUGGUAGACUUGAGCCUCGGAGAGGUAAGCGGAAUUCCUAGUGUAGCGGUGAAAUGCGUAGAGAUUAGGAAGAACACCGGUGGCGAAGGCGGCUUACUGGACGAGUACUGACGCUCAGGUGCGAAAGCGUGGGGAGCAAACAGGAUUAGAUACCCCGGUAGUC